rnacentral:rRNA from 1 species
GACGAACGCUGGCGGCGUGCCUAAUACAUGCAAGUCGAACGAACUCUGGUAUUGAUUGGUGCUUGCAUCAUGAUUUACAUUUGAGUGAGUGGCGAACUGGUGAGUAACACGUGGGAAACCUGCCCAGAAGCGGGGGAUAACACCUGGAAACAGAUGCUAAUACCGCAUAACAACUUGGACCGCAUGGUCCGAGUUUGAAAGAUGGCUUCGGCUAUCACUUUUGGAUGGUCCCGCGGCGUAUUAGCUAGAUGGUGAGGUAACGGCUCACCAUGGCAAUGAUACGUAGCCGACCUGAGAGGGUAAUCGGCCACAUUGGGACUGAGACACGGCCCAAACUCCUACGGGAGGCAGCAGUAGGGAAUCUUCCACAAUGGACGAAAGUCUGAUGGAGCAACGCCGCGUGAGUGAAGAAGGGUUUCGGCUCGUAAAACUCUGUUGUUAAAGAAGAACAUAUCUGAGAGUAACUGUUCAGGUAUUGACGGUAUUUAACCAGAAAGCCACGGCUAACUACGUGCCAGCAGCCGCGGUAAUACGUAGGUGGCAAGCGUUGUCCGGAUUUAUUGGGCGUAAAGCGAGCGCAGGCGGUUUUUUAAGUCUGAUGUGAAAGCCUUCGGCUCAACCGAAGAAGUGCAUCGGAAACUGGGAAACUUGAGUGCAGAAGAGGACAGUGGAACUCCAUGUGUAGCGGUGAAAUGCGUAGAUAUAUGGAAGAACACCAGUGGCGAAGGCGGCUGUCUGGUCUGUAACUGACGCUGAGGCUCGAAAGUAUGGGUAGCAAACAGGAUUAGAUACCCUGGUAGUCCAUACCGUAAACGAUGAAUGCUAAGUGUUGGAGGGUUUCCGCCCUUCAGUGCUGCAGCUAACGCAUUAAGCAUUCCGCCUGGGGAGUACGGCCGCAAGGCUGAAACUCAAAGGAAUUGACGGGGGCCCGCACAAGCGGUGGAGCAUGUGGUUUAAUUCGAAGCUACGCGAAGAACCUUACCAGGUCUUGACAUACUAUGCAAAUCUAAGAGAUUAGACGUUCCCUUCGGGGACAUGGAUACAGGUGGUGCAUGGUUGUCGUCAGCUCGUGUCGUGAGAUGUUGGGUUAAGUCCCGCAACGAGCGCAACCCUUAUUAUCAGUUGCCAGCAUUAAGUUGGGCACUUUGGUGAGACUGCCGGUGACAAACCGGAGGAAGGUGGGGAUGACGUCAAAUCAUCAUGCCCCUUAUGACCUGGGCUACACACGUGCUACAAUGGAUGGUACAACGAGUUGCGAACUCGCGAGAGUAAGCUAAUCUCUUAAAGCCAUUCUCAGUUCGGAUUGUAGGCUGCAACUCGCCUACAUGAAGUCGGAAUCGCUAGUAAUCGCGGAUCAGCAUGCCGCGGUGAAUACGUUCCCGGGCCUUGUACACACCGCCCGUCACACCAUGAGAGUUUGUAACACCCAAAGUCGGUGGGGUAACCUUUUAGGAACCAGCCGCCUAAGGUGGGACAGAUGAUUAGGGUG